rnacentral:lncRNA from 1 species
CAACCAUAAGUGUGCAUGCUAGUACGGCGUCUAAACGGUCACCUGAACAUUCUCGACCGAAGGCAGUAGGCAAACCAAAGCGUAAACUAGUAUACCCGACGGAGAAGGGGUCUGGCCAUGGUCGGAAACGAGUAGAAGGCACCUUGCCUAUAACUCGAUACCGAGAUGACCAGGACGCAAAAGCCUCCCGGUUGGCUAAAAUGGCGGAUGAGGCGGAUAGGGCUAUGGAAGUACUAUUAAAGCAGCGUCAAGAUAUAGCCAAGCAGAUGGCUCGGAUGGCAGAAUUGAGAGAUGAAGAGCUCAGCUAUGCCCAAUCCGAAGAGCAAGGACAUCGGAGUGGG